rnacentral:tRNA from 1 species
UAGCUUAGUUGGUAAAGCGCUCGUCUAGCAUACAAGAGUCCUGGAUUCAAAUCCCAG